rnacentral:rRNA from 1 species
GGUGAACGCUGGCGGCGUGCUUAAGACAUGCAAGUCGAACGCAGUCUUCGGACUGAGUGGCGCACAGGUGAGUAACACGUAACUGACCUACCCCCAAAUCGCGGAUAACUGGCCGAAAGGUCAGCUAAUACGUGAUGUGAUGUCCCCUUUCUGGGGGCCAUUAAAGGUUUACUGCUUGGGGAUGGGGUUGCGUUCCAUCAGCUAGUUGGCGGGGUAAAGGCCCACCAAGGCAACGACGGAUAGCCGGCCUGAGAGGGUGGCCGGCCACAGGGGCACUGAGACACGGGUCCCACUCCUACGGGAGGCAGCAGUUAGGAAUCUUCCACAAUGGGCGAAAGCCUGAUGGAGCGACGCCGCGUGAGGGAUGAAGGUUCUCGGAUCGUAAACCUCUGAAUCAGGGACGAAAGACGCGUAAGCGGGAUGACGGUACCUGAGUAAUAGCACCGGCUAACUCCGUGCCAGCCGCCGCCGUAA